GAUGAAGAACGCAGCGAAAUGCGAUAAGUAAUGUGAAUUGCAGAAUUCAGUGAAUCAUCGAAUCUUUGAACGCACAUUGCGCCCGCCAGUAUUCUGGCGGGCAUGCCUGUCCGAGCGUCAUUUCAACCAUCAAGCCCCCGGGCUUGUGUUGGGGACCUGCGGCUGCCCGCAGGCCCUGAAAACCAGUGGCGGGCUCGCUGUCACACCGAGCGUAGUAGCAAUCACCUCGCUCAGGGCGUGCUGCGGGUUCCGGCCGUUAAACAGCCUUACAAAACCCAAGGUUGACCUCGGAUCAGGUAGGAAGACCCGCUGAACUUAAGCAUAUCAAUGAGCGGAGGA
rnacentral:misc_RNA from 1 species